UCCCUGGUGGUCCAGUGGCUAAGACUUCAAACUCACAAAUUCAGGGGGUCCAGGUUCCAUCCCUGGUCAGGGAU
rnacentral:tRNA from 1 species